AAACCUGCCUCAUAGACUGGGACAACUAUUGGAAACGAUAGCUAAUACCGGAUAACAGCAUUAACUGCAUGGUUGAUGUUUGAAAGUUGGUUUUGCUAACACUAUGAGAUGGCUUUGCGGUGCAUUAGCUAGUUGGUGGGAUAAAGGCCUACCAAGGCGACGAUGCAUAGCCGACCUGAGAGGGUGAUCGGCCACACUGGGACUGAGACACGGCCCAG
rnacentral:rRNA from 1 species